GGACGAAAGUCUGACCGAGCAACGCCGCGUGAGUGAAGAAGGUUUUCGGAUCGUAAAGCUCUGUUGUAAGUCAAGAACGUGUGUGAGAGUGGAAAGUUCACACAGUGACGGUAGCUUACCAGAAAGGGACGGCUAACUACGUGCCAGCAGCCGCGGUAAUACGUAGGUCCCGAGCGUUGUCCGGAUUUAUUGGGCGUAAAGGGAGCGCAGGCGGUCAGGAAAGUCUGGAGUAAAAGGCUAUGGCUCAACCAUAGUGUGCUCUGGAAACUGUCUGACUUGAGUGCAGAAGGGGAGAGUGGAAUUCCAUGUGUAGCGGUGAAAUGCGUAGAUAUAUGGAGGAACACCAGUGGCGAAAGCGGCUCUCUGGUCUGUCACUGACGCUGAGGCUCGAAAGCGUGGGUAGCGAACAGGAUUAGAUACCCUGGUAGUCCACGCCGUAAACGAUGAGUGCUAGGUGUUAGGCCCUUUCCGGGGCUUAGUGCCGGAGCUAACGCAAUAAGCACUCCGCCUGGGGAGUACGACCGCAAGGUUGAAACUCAAAGGAAUUGACGGGGGCCCGCACAAGCGGUGGAGCAUGUGGUUUAAUUCGAAGCAACGCGAAGAACCUUACCAGGUCU
rnacentral:rRNA from 1 species